AGCCGGGGACGACCCCGAUUCUGCUCACAAUCCCCACGGGACGACCCGA
rnacentral:ncRNA from 1 species